AACAAUUGCUGGCCCAAAAUCAGCAACGAGCCCUUGACGCUGGUCCAUCACUCCCAACUUAGCGUAGACAACGCGAAGAAGACGUACUUGACUUCGCGGGGACAGUUAACCAAGACAAACGCGGGCAACCCGAUAACUGGAAAAACUCGAGUCAGGAGAGGCCGUGUAACGUUCUGUGAGCGUCUUCGACCUUUGGCCGACUUUCCCUCUUCGUCGACGUGACGACUUCCUACUCCCUUUGUUCUUUCCCAUCUUCUCCUUUGUAAUUGGGGCAGUCUUACCCUCGGUGUGAAACCAGCCGGACUCAACAGUCUCUGGUGUCAUGUGUUUGUGUUGUAGUUUUUGUGUCUACUUUACUGGUGCUGGAAUGCCAACAAGCAUGGCCAGCGUGAAUGUGUGUUUCUGUUGUGUAAAUUGCUGGUGCUGGAAUGCCAACAAGCAUGGCCAGGUCCGGACGGUCGUGGUAAUACGACCGUUCGUAGUGCGCUGCGGUAAUGCAGGCACCGGUGUGUUCGUGGUGCGCUGCGGUAAUGCAGGCACCGGUUUAAACGCGGUAAUGCGUGAUUCAGACUGUGUGUGUGUCUACUAAAGUCAGGAAAUAGACCGAGAGGUUCUCAAAAGA